GCGAGUGAAGCGGCAAAAGCUCAAAUUUGAAAUCUGGCACCUUCGGUGUCCGAGUUGUAAUUUGAAGAAGGUAACUUUGGAGUUGGCUCUUGUCUAUGUUCCUUGGAACAGGACGUCACAGAGGGUGAGAAUCCCGUGCGAUGAGAUGCCCAAUUCUAUGUAAAGUGCUUUCGAAGAGUCGAGUUGUUUGGGAAUGCAGCUCUAAGUGGGUGGUAAAUUCCAUCUAAAGCUAAAUAUUGGCGAGAGACCGAUAGCGAACAAGUACAGUGAUGGAAAGAUGAAAAGAACUUUGAAAAGAGAGUGAAAAAGUACGUGAAAUUGUUGAAAGGGAAGGGCUUGAGAUCAGACUUGGUAUUUUGCAAGCCUUACCUUCGUGGUGGGGUCCCCUGCAGUUUACUGGGCCAGCAUCGGUUUGGAUGGUAGGAUAAUGACUUGGGAAUGUGACUUUGCUUCGGUAAAGUGUUAUAGCCCUUGUUGAUACUGCCUGUCUAGACCGAGGACUGCGUCUUUGACUAGGAUGCUGGCAUAAUGAUCUUAAGUCGCCC
rnacentral:rRNA from 1 species